GAUGAACGCUGGCGGCGUGCCUAAUACAUGCAAGUCGAGCGAACAGAUGAGGAGCUUGCUCCUCUGACGUUAGCGGCGGACGGGUGAGUAACACGUGGAUAACCUACCUAUAAGACUGGGAUAACUUCGGGAAACCGGAGCUAAUACCGGAUAAUAUAUUGAACCGCAUGGUUCAAUAGUGAAAGACGGUUUUGCUGUCACUUAUAGAUGGAUCCGCGCCGCAUUAGCUAGUUGGUACGGUAACGGCUUACCAAGGCGACGAUGCGUAGCCGACCUGCGAGGGUGAACGGCCACACUGGAACUGAGACACGGUCCAGACUCCUACGGGAGGCAGCAGUAGGGAAUCUUCCGCAAUGUGCGAAAGCCUGACGGAGCAACGCCGCGUGAGUGAUGAAGGUCUUCGGAUCGUAAGACUCUGUUAGUAGGGAAGAACAAAUGUGUAAGUAACUAUGCACGUCUUGACGGUACCUAAACAGGAAGCCACGGCUAACUACGUG
rnacentral:rRNA from 1 species